rnacentral:rRNA from 1 species
GGACCGUGUAUAAGUCUCCUGGGAUGGGGCGUCAUAGAGGGUGAGAAUCCCGUCUUUGACACGGACUACCAGUGCAUUGUGGUAUGCUCUCAAAGAGUCGAGUUGUUUGGGAAUGCAGCUCAAAAUGGGUGGUAAAUUCCAUCUAAAGCUAAAUAUUGGCGAGAGACCGAUAGCGAACAAGUACCGUGAGGGAAAGAUGAAAAGAACUUUGGAAAGAGAGUUAAACAGUACGUGAAAUUGCUGAAAGGGAAACGCUUGAAGUCAGUCGCGUUGNCUGGAAAUCAGCCUUGCUUUUGCAUGGUGUANUUUCUGGUUGACGGGUCAGCAUCAAUUUUGACCGCUGGAAAAAGGCCUGGGGAAUGUGGCAGCUUCGGCUGUGUUAUAGCCCCUAGUCACAUACAGUGGUUGGGAUUGAGGAACUCAGCACGCCGCAAGGCCGGGUUUCGACCACGACCGUGCUUAGGAUGCUGGCAUAAUGGCUUUAAGCGACCCGUCUUGAAACACGGACCAAGGAGUCUAACAUGCCUGCGAGUAUUUGGGUGGAAAACUCAAGUGCGUAAUGAAAGUGAAAGUUGAGAUCCCUGUCGUGGGGAGCAUCGACGCCCGGACCAGAACUUUUGGGACGGAUCCGCGGUGGAGCAUGUAUGUUGGGACCCGAAAGAUGGUGAACUAUGCCUGAAUAGGGUGAAGCCAGAGGAAACUCUGGUGGAGGCUCGUAGCGAUUCUGACGUGCAAAUCGAUCGU